rnacentral:rRNA from 1 species
GACGAACGCUGGCGGCGUGCUUAACACAUGCAAGUCGAACGGAAAGGCCCUGCUUUUGUGGGGUGCUCGAGUGGCGAACGGGUGAGUAACACGUGAGUAACCUGCCCUCGACUUUGGGAUAACUUCAGGAAACUGGGGCUAAUACCGGAUAGGAGCUCCUGCUGCAUGGUGGGGGUUGGAAAGUUUCGGCGGUUGGGGAUGGACUCGCGGCUUAUCAGCUUGUUGGUGGGGUAGUGGCUUACCCAGGCUUUGACGGGUAGCCGGCCUGAGAGGGUGACCGGCCACAUUGGGACUGAGAUACGGCCCAGACUCCUACGGGAGGCAGCAGUGGGGAAUAUUGCACAAUGGGCGGAAGCCUGAUGCAGCAACGCCGCGUGCGGGAUGACGGCCUUCGGGUUGUAAACCGCUUUCGCCUGUGACGAAGCGUGAGUGACGGUAAUGGGUAAAGAAGCACCGGCUAACUACGUG